AAUACAUGCAAGUCGAGCGGACAGAUGGGAGCUUGCUCCCUGAUGUUAGCGGCGGACGGGUGAGUAACACGUGGGUAACCUGCCUGUAAGACUGGGAUAACUCCGGGAAACCGGGGCUAAUACCGGAUGCUUGAUUGAACCGCAUGGUUCAAUUAUAAAAGGUGGCUUUUAGCUACCACUUACAGAUGGACCCGCGGCGCAUUAGCUAGUUGGUGAGGUAACGGCUCACCAAGGCAACGAUGCGUAGCCGACCUGAGAGGGUGAUCGGCCACACUGGGACUGAGACACGGCCCAAACUCCUACGGGAGGCAGCAGUAGGGAAUCUUCCGCAAUGGACGAAAGUCUGACGGAGCAACGCCGCGUGAGUGAUGAAGGUUUUCGGAUCGUAAAACUCUGUUGUUAGGGAAGAACAAGUACCGUUCGAAUAGGGCGGUACCUUGACGGUACCUAACCAGAAAGCCACGGCUAACUACGUGCCAGCAGCCGCGGUAAUACGUAGGUGGCAAGCGUUGUCCGGAAUUAUUGGGCGUAAAGCGCGCGCAGGCGGUUUCUUAAGUCUGAUGUGAAAGCCCCCGGCUCAACCGGGGAGGGUCAUUGGAAACUGGGGAACUUGAGUGCAGAAGAGGAGAGUGGAAUUCCACGUGUAGCGGUGAAAUGCGUAGAGAUGUGGAGGAACACCAGUGGCGAAGGCGACUCUCUGGUCUGUAACUGACGCUGAGGCGCGAAAGCGUGGGGAGCGAACAGGAUUAGAUACCCUGGUAGUCCACGCCGUAAACGAUGAGUGCUAAGUGUUAGAGGGUUUCCGCCCUUUAGUGCUGCAGCAAACGCAUUAAGCACUCCGCCUGGGGAGUACGGUCGCAAGACUGAAACUCAAAGGAAUUGACGGGGGCCCGCACAAGCGGUGGAGCAUGUGGUUUAAUUCGAAGCAACGCGAAGAACCUUACCAGGUCUUGACAUCCUCUGACACCCCUAGAGAUAGGGCUUCCCCUUCGGGGGCAGAGUGACAG
rnacentral:rRNA from 1 species